rnacentral:miRNA from 1 species
AAGGAGGAAAUAGGCAGGCCAG